rnacentral:rRNA from 1 species
UACGUAGGGAGCGAGCGUUAUCCGGAUUUAUUGGGUGUAAAGGGUGCGUAGGCGGCUUCUUAAGUCUGUAGUCUAAGCCCGGAGCUUAACUCCGGUUCGCUACAGAAACUGAUUAGCUUGAGUAUGGUAGAGGCAAGUGGAAUUUCUAGUGUAGCGGUUAAAUGCGUAGAUAUUAGAAGGAACACCAGUGGCGAAGGCGACUUGCUGGGCCAUCACUGACGCUGAGGCACGAAAGCGUGGGGAGCAAA